rnacentral:sRNA from 1 species
CAACUCCAUCCUCGUGGACCUGCUGGGGAUUGCGGUGGGCCACAUCUACUACUUCCUGCAGGACGUCUUCCCCAACCAGCCCGGAGGCAAGAGGCUCCUGCAGACCCCUGGCUUCCUGGUUCUCAUCCUGGCCCCACCAGGGCCUUGGGCAAGUCCUGCCCACCAUAGGCCU